rnacentral:miRNA from 1 species
AAAGGAAAAUGAGAGUGAGAAUGGGAGUAAGGAUGAGAUUGAGAGACAGUAUGAAAGCGGAGGAGUAACAAAAGUGAAAACAAAAAUUAAAAACUGAAUCUCAUCUUCCCUUCCAUUCUCCCUUCUCAUCUUCCCUCUCAAUCU